AAAUUUUUCAUAACUUAAAUAAUUUAAAUCCCCCUCCCGACCCCCGAACCCCGAACCCGUAUACAAGUUAUGAAUAUGUAAGUACGUAGAUGAAGUGGGGUUACGGAAUCAAUAUUUCAUUGACUUUUUGACUUUUUAGAUAUUCUAUGUAGUAUAAAUUAAUUUAAGAUGUGGUUGUGUUUGCAAAAAGUCAAAUUGGUUGAUGGAUUGGUGGUGGUGGUGGUGGUACCGUACGUAAUUAUGGAGUAUUAGGAGGAGCAGUGGACCACACAAACCCUGUUGAUUACACUUCUUUACUUGAUAGUUUUUUCUUGAUGGUCAACAGUUACAGGCGAGUGGCGGAGUAGGGCUCAACUCCAGCUACUACGUCUGCUUUUGGUAGGUGGAGAAAUUAAUUAGUGAGUAGUAGUAUUUUACUUAUUAUAAUUACAUGAUGAUGAUGAUCCAAACCACGUUGUUUACUAUGAAGAAUUUAAUUUAAUAGUAAUAGUAAUAAAAAAGUAAGUACAUUCCAGAAAAACACAUAUGUUAUGUUUGGGCUUUAAUUACGAGUUUUGAGUUCAGGUCAUUGAAUACUGUUAUGUUAUAUUAUGUAACUUGUGCGUUUUAAUUACUAACACCAUGUUAUUAUGAUUAUGCUACUGAGUAGAGAGAGCGAUAUGUAGUUGGAGUAGCAAACAUGAUAAGAUCGAUCAGAUGGUGGCCCGAGGGAGAAGGUUGGAAUUGCAAAUGGGACUCACACAGCACGUGUCUGCCUGCAUAUAUAUAUAUAGGUAGCACGGUUGAUGGAGCAAAUGAGAAAAAAGCUGCGUACGUGGUUGCACCCGCGCGCUACCUUUUAACACUAAGCCAGCCGGCCAGCCAGCCAGCGUUGGCAUGUACUGUACGUACCCACCUUAACUUGGAGCCUAG
rnacentral:lncRNA from 1 species